rnacentral:rRNA from 1 species
UUGCCUACGGGACGCAGCAGUGAGGAAUAUUGGUCAAUGGCCGGAAGGCUGAACCAGCCAAGCCGCGUGAAGGACGAAGGUGCCAAGCAUUGUAAACUUCUUUUGUCAAGGGACAAAAUCAGGCUCGAGAGCCUGACCGAGGGUACUUGAAGAAAAAGCAUCGGCUAACUCCGUGCCAGCAGCCGCGGUAAUACGUAGGGGGCAAGCGUUAUCCGGAUUUACUGGGUGUAAAGGGGGCGUAGACGGUGCAGCAAGUCUGAUGUGAAAGGUCGGGGCCCAACCCCGGGACUGCAUUGGAAACUGUU